AACGUAGGAGACAAACGUUAUCCGGAGUUACUGGGCGUAAAGGGCGUGUAGGUGGUUUCGUAAGUCUGGCGUGAAAUUUUUCGGCUUAACCGGGAAAGGUCGUCGGAUACUGCGGAGCUAGAGGACGGUAGAGGCGUGUGGAAUUCCGGGUGUAGUGGUGAAAUGCGUAGAGAUCCGGAGGAACACCAGUGGCGAAGGCGACACGCUGGGCCGUACCUGACACUGAUGCGCGACAGCAUGGGGACAAGAGGAUAG
rnacentral:rRNA from 1 species